UACAGAGGUCUCGAGCGUUGUUCGGAUUCAUUGGGCGUAAAGGGUGCGUAGGUGGCGCUGUAAGUCAGGUGUGAAAUUUCGGAGCUUAACUCCGAAACUGCAUUUGAUACUGCGGUGCUUGAGGACUGGAGAGGAGACUGGAAUUUACGGUGUAGUAGUGAAAUGCGUAGAGAUCGUAAGGAAGACCAGUGGCGAAGGCGGGUCUCUGGACAGUUCCUGACACUGAGGCACGAAGGCCAGGGGAGCAAACGGG
rnacentral:rRNA from 1 species